rnacentral:misc_RNA from 1 species
GAUGAAGAACGUAGCGAAAUGCGAUAAGUAAUGUGAAUUGCAGAAUUCAGUGAAUCAUCGAGUCUUUGAACGCACAUUGCGCCCCCUGGUAUUCCGGGGGGCAUGCCUGUCCGAGCGUCAUUGCCGCCCUCAAGCCCGGCUUGUGUGUUGGGCCCCCGCCCCCCGGCUUCGGGGGGCGGGCCCGAAAGGCAGCGGCGGCACCGCGUCCGGUCCUCGAGCGUAUGGGGCUUCGUCACCCGCUCUGUAGGCCCGGCCGGCGCCCGCCGGCGACCCCAAUCAAUCUUUCCAGGUUGACCUCGGAUCAGGUAGGGAUACCCGCUGAACUUAAGCAUAUCAAUAAGCGGAGGA